CUGGAAAGGAUUCCAACAGCGGGACGUCCAACAGUCUGCAGCUAAAGACACAGAGGAGACUAGCUGACCUUUGAGACCCCGUGGACACUGCCGCUGUCCAAGUUGUUGGAGAAACACAGACGGGACUUAAUGGUGCAUUCAAUCGCACCUCGUCAACUCAUGGUGCAUUCAAGUGCAGCUGCAGAAAC